rnacentral:misc_RNA from 1 species
AACGCACAUUGCACCCUCUGGUAUUCCGGAGGGUAUGCCUGUUUGAGUGUCAUUAAUCUCUCAACACAGACAGGUUUUGUUACCUGUUCUGUUGUUUGGAUUUUGAAGGCUUUGCUGGCAGUCUGACUGUCAGCUCCUUUUAAAUGCAUUAGCAGAAAUCAUGCAGAACUGGCCUCAGUUUGAUAAAGAUUUAUCUAUGUUGCUGUCGCCAGGAUAAUGCUAGUAUUUUUCAGCUUCUAAUAGUCCUUUCAGGACUGUCUCACUUGAGGCAUACAAACUUGACACUUGACCUCAAAUCAGGUAGGACUACCCGCUGAACUUAA